UACAGAGGUGGCAAGCGUUGUUCGGAAUUACUGGGCGUAAAGGGCGCGUAGGCGGCCUUCUAAGUCGGACGUGAAAGCCCCAGGCUUAACCUGGGAACUGCGUCCGAUACUGGAAGGCUUGGAUUCGGGAGAGGGAUGUGGAAUUCCAGGUGUAGCGGUGAAAUGCGUAGAUAUCUGGAGGAACACCGGUGGCGAAGGCGGCAUCCUGGACCGAGAUCGACACUGAGGCACGAAAGCGUGGGGAUCAAACAGG
rnacentral:rRNA from 1 species